rnacentral:hammerhead_ribozyme from 1 species
AUCCAGGACGAGUCCCAGAAUGAACAUCAACUCUGAGAUGCAGGUACAUCCAGUUAACAAGUCCCGAAUAGGACGAAACGCGCGUCUUGGAU